rnacentral:rRNA from 1 species
CCUACGGGGGGCAGCAGUGAGGAAUAUUGGUCAAUGGACGCAAGUCUGAACCAGCCAUGCCGCGUGCAGGAAGACUGCUCUAUGAGUUGUAAACUGCUUUUGUACGAGGGUAAACGCAGAUACGCGUAUCUGUCUGAAAGUAUCGUACGAAUAAGGAUCGGCUAACGCCGUGCCAGCAGCCGCGGUAAUACGGAGGAUUCAAGCGUUAUCCGGAUUUAUUGGGUUUAAAGGGUGCGUUGGGGGGCGGAUAAGUUAGAGGUGAAAUUCCGAGGCUCAACUUCGGAAUUGCCUCUGAUACUGUUCGGCUAGAGAGUAGUUGAGGUAGGCGGAAUGUAUGGUGUAGCGGUGAAAUGCUUAGAGAUCAUACAGAACACCGAUUGCGAAGGCAGCUUACCAAGCUACUACUGACGUUGAGGCACGAAAGCGUGGGUAGCAAACAGGAUUAGAUACCCGAGUAGUC